rnacentral:rRNA from 1 species
AACGAACGCUGGCGGCAUGCCUAACACAUGCCAGUCGAACGAGACCGUCGGGUCUAGGGGCGCAGGGGGAGGUAAGGCGGGGGAAGCUGCACGUAGGUUAGGAAUAACUGCCCGAAGGGGGAGCUAAUAACGGAGAAGGUCAUCGGGGCAAGGAGUUAUCGCCGUUGGGUGGGCCCGGGUUAGCUUAGCUAGUUGGUAGGGUAAAAGCCUACCAAGGGGACGAUGCAGAGCUGGUCUGAUAGGAUGACCAGCCACGCUGGGACUGCGGCGCGGGCCAGACGCCUACGCGAGGCAGCAGUGUGGUAUAUUGUACGCUGAGCGCAGGCCUGAUACCGCCAUGCCGCGUGAGUGAUGCAGCCCUUAGUGUUGUAAAGCUCUUUUACCCGGGAUGAUAAUGACAGUACCGGGAGAAUAAGCACCGGCUAACUCCGUG